rnacentral:lncRNA from 1 species
ACGUAUACCCAUGCGUCUCUGCCACUUUUGUUUAUUAAAUUGUAUAUCUAACCACUCACAUUGUUUUUUUUAUUCUAUUCUGCAAAGACUUUAUUCCACCGAUAUGAAAUGGGGGACAGGAUCAGAAAAUCAAUUAGUGCUGUAACUACUAAUAAAAAUGAUGAUGAGUUAUUAUGGACCGUUAGGGUGUAUGAUGAAAACAAAAGCUUAACAGGAGAUAAAAUA